AUUAAUAUUUGGUAAAUGGAGAUAUUGAGGUAGAGUAAUUAUGGUAAAUGAUUGAGUUUGGUUGUAUUUUUAUUCUCUUUUUGUGUGGCUUGCGUGUGUGCCUUGAUGUUGUAUCUCAUUUGCAUUUAAAAAUUUUCAAGAAACGUUUAAGCGAAAGCUUUAAGUUUCAAAGGUGUAGUCUGAAGUGAAAUUCUUCUUAGAGAGGUAAGUAUUUAUAAUCUUUUGAAUUUCUAUUUUAUGUGUGAUUCUAGGUUAUUAAUUGAAUGGUUUACAUUAUCCUAAAAACUGUGAACAAUGCAGAUUCAAUGUUAUAUAUGUUGGGGAAAAAUUAGGUUUUUAAAUUUUUUAUAAAACCUUCUGAAGAUCGCUCUCAUAUAAUAUAUAAGAAUUUGUAAUAUAGAAAUUGUACCUUGAAAAUCCGAUUUGACUUUUUCCGAUGAAGCCAUUUAGGCUCCUAGAUCAUGAUCCGCCGCCGCCACCACUCCUAUUAGAUCACGAUCUGUCACCACCACGCUUGUUAGAUCACGAACUGUCACCAAUGAUCUUCCAGGUUAUGACUUAGGUUCGAUCUGCAUUUGACGUGUAGGCGCCUUUAUCACUACCAAAGCAACUAGCACGAGAAAAUUUUUCUUUCAAUAAUAGAGAGAAAAAUCUUUUUCUCUGAUCUGUAUAAAGUGGCUGCCCUUUUUUUCUUUAGAGAAAAUAAGCUUUUUAUAUCACCCUUUAGUAAAAACUCUAGGCUCCAAAUAAUCAAAAAACAAAACCCACGGUAUUUGCUUUUUCAAUAGGGGACCCACCUUAUAAAAUAACAUAAGGCCCCUUACACAAAAGCUAAUUAAAUGGAGCCUCCCACUAAAUGAUAUAUUUAGGCUUUUGACCCAAAUAACUAGUUAUCUUACUUAUUAGUCCAGUAGUGGUGCAGUCAAUUAAAUGAGCUAACCCGGGGAUCAUUUGGGAACAUACAAUAGUGGCUACGAAACUUAACAUGGUUUUGAUUAAUUUUUAAGACCCUAUUUCUGCUGUACGGCCAAGGCGGAUGUACGGUACAGCAGAUAAUUCGUCCCAAGCCACAUUGAUUUCUUUACUGCGCAAUCCUUUGUACCACAUCGUUAAUUAAAUUGAUAUCUCAACUGUCCAAUCAAUUUAAUAACAUCUUGUUCCUUGAUACUUACUUGUUUUCUCUAAUGAUCAUUUUCAACAUACUAAAUAUGUUGACACACUCUGGCCAGAGAAUUCUAUGAUCAAGUGCCGAAAACCCAUUAAGAGAUGUGUUGUACAAAUUCUAUAUUGUUAAUCCAUAACUCCAUUACUCAUAAUUGCUCCCACCAAAAUACCGGGUAAUCUUGACCACAAGUAUGUGUCGUGCCCAUUGGUAACUCAAAUGGAAUAACAAUUACAAUCAUGAAAUCAUAAUUAACUGAAGAUUAAGAUUACAGUAAAAUCAAUGCCUAUGAGAUUUAAUAAGUCUAAUAGUUAUUACAAAGUUAAUUAAAUCUCAUAUGUGAUCAUGUUCAAUGUAGUCGUACUACAUCAAUAAAUUCAUACAUGAUUAAGACAAAUCAUUAAAUGAAUUUAUUACAGUCUAUACCUAAAUAAAGUACCCAACUUUAUUUAUCAACUGCGAACUAAAUUUAUUUAAUCAUAAGAUAACUUGUAUUUAUAUCUUCUGUGAAUCCACAUGGUGAUCACAUAAAUACAUAUAAUAUGAUUAAAUGGACUUUAAUACAAAUAUUAAUGUAAUUAAGAUAUUUGAAUAAAAUACCUCAUUUAUUUUGUUAAUCAGAAAAAUUAUUUAUUACAAUUAAAUAAACACAUAUGCUUUUAAACAACAUAUUUUCCCAACAAUAUAGUUGUUGUUUUCGUUAAAUCUUAUGCAUAAAACUUCAUAACUUACUAAACUAGACAUCUUUAUCUUUCUAUCCAUAUAUUUAUUGUCCAAAAACUCAUUACAUAUUAAUUCUUUUGAUUUUUCAAAUUUGGAAUACUAGUACUGGAAAAUUUCAAUUUUCAGCAGCAAUCCUCAAUUCUAUAAUUUAUUUCGCAAUCCAAAUGACUUCCGAAGAUUUCUGGAAAAUUUUAUUAUUAUAUAUCUACAUGUCUAGUUUUUGUGUAUUUAAUUUUUUAAUUUUUUAAUUUAUAUUAAAAUCAUUAAAAAUCGUAGAGUUGGGUUGCCGCAAUCUUGGAAACUGCUUUCCAGAAUUUUAAGGGGGUAAUAUUGAAGCUAAUUUUAAUUACUUUUUCAUUAGAAAACGCUUUAAAAAUUUUAAUUCUGAUUCCAUAUUGUCUCCUCUGAUGAUCAAAACUUGAAUCAUUAUUUUUGAACACAUAUAACUAAAAUUAUGAAUUUUUGAAUCAACAGUCCUCUAUUUAUUUUGUCACUGGACAGUUUUAAUGUUUUUGUGGAAAAUUAGUUUUUUCAGAAAUGUUUAUGAACUCUAAUUAAUUUUGUUAACAUUUAUAUUGAAUGCCAACAUGUUUACAGUAGCUUUUAAUAAUUGUGAUUUUUCGACAAUAAUUAUAGCUUGUUAGAAAUCAGCUCCUAUAAGAUGGUCGAGGGUAGUUUGGGGAAUUGAUUUGUUUAGGUUAGAGUUAAUAGUUUAAGAAUAUUGCGUAUCUUAUGAAGGUCAUAUUUGAAUAUGAUAUUGAUAAAAAUCUCAUCUUGAAAAUUUUAGGCCAAUAGUGAGCUCGUGUAUUUGGGGUUUUUAUUGGUUGUUUUGGAUCGAGGUAAGUGGAUUCAUGCAUAACGUUUAUUAUUAUAUAUAUGUACGAAUUUAUGAAAAGAAUAAUGUUGUUCACAAGGAUUGGCAUAUUUAUAUUUUUGAAGUAUUUUUGUUGUUAUAGUUUAUAAUAAUGAUUUACAUUUUGGUUUAAAGUUUAUGUAAAAUGUUUUCUUAAAUUGUUUUAAAAAAUGGCUUUAAAAUACUUGUGUUCCAUAAAUUGUUUUUCCUUAAAAUAAUUUGUAAAGCUUUGCCAAUUAAAUGUCUUAUAAGAGAUUUUGUUGAUCAAUUAUUGAACGAUUGAUAUUGAAAGAUUAAAAAUUAUUUUAAGGUUUUAGCUCAUUGUCCGUAGUUUCCAUUACUAAUAUUACUAAAUAGUUAACUGUAUUGUGCGCACCUAUUGACGAUUAUUGCGGGAUAAAGUGCCUUGAUUGAACUACCAGCCGGGUCACUGAGAGUACUAGUGACACUAUGAGGCAUGAACAAAAUUGAACAAAUGAAAGAUUUUAUUAAUAAAUGAUUAUUUAUUUAAAAUGGUCAUUAUGUUAUGACAUAAUUGAUUUUAAAUUUUACCGUACAUAUGUAUUAAAUGAUUAUUGAUUUCAAAUUCAUGGCAUUUAAUAAUUAUUAUUAUGUACUUUAUCGUUAUUAGUAACCUUAUGCAUGUAUUUGCUUACCAAGUUGACAGCUCACCCCUCGUCUCCAACAUUUUUGUAGAGUGAUUUUAAAGACGUGGACCUUUUGGUUUUAGAGAAGAUGAUUUGUUAGCCGAAAGCUUUGGGCAUUUUUGUGAUGGAUAAAUUGUUGUUAUUUUGGUUAUUAUUUUAGAGCUGAAUUUGAUAUUGGAGGAUUAUUGUUAUAUUUAUUGUUUUAGAGACUAUGUUUCGACUUUGGACAUUAUUGAUUUUC
rnacentral:lncRNA from 1 species